GUUGGGGUGGCAGAGCCCGGAAAUUGCAAAAGCUCUAAGCCCUUUUCACGGAGGUUCAAGUCCUCCCCUUAACU
rnacentral:tRNA from 1 species